AAGAUCGGGUUGCGGUUUAA
rnacentral:siRNA from 1 species